AACCCUCGACCUUAGUUGCCAGCAUUCAGUUGGGCACUCUAAGGUGACUGCCGGCUAAAAGUCGGAGGAGGGUGGGGAUGACGUCAAAUCAUCAUGCCCCUUAUGACCUGGGCUACACACGUGCUACAAUGGGCGGUACAAAGGGUCGCGAACCCGCGAGGGGGAGCCAAUCCCAAAAAGCCGCUCUCAAGUUCGGAUUGCAGGCUGCAACUCGCCUACAUGAAGUCGGAAUCGCUAGUAAUCGCGGAUCAGCACGCCGCGGUGAAUACGUUCCCGGGCCUUGU
rnacentral:rRNA from 1 species